rnacentral:rRNA from 1 species
AGCGAACGCUGGCGGCAGGCCUAACACAUGCAAGUCGAGCGCCCCGCAAGGGGAGCGGCAGACGGGAGAGUAACACGUGGGAACGUACCCUUCAGUUCGGAACAACCCAGGGAAACUUGGGCUAAUACCGGAUACGUCCGUAAGGAGAAAGAUUUAUCGCUGAAGGAUCGGCCCGCGUCCGAUUAGCUAGUUGGUGAGGUAACGGCUCACCAAGGCGACGAUCGGUAGCUGGUCUGAGAGGAUGAUCAGCCUCACUGGGACUGAGACACGGCCCAGACUCCUACGGGAGGCAGCAGUGGGGAAUAUUGGACAAUGGGCGCAAGCCUGAUCCAGCCAUGCCGCGUGGAUGAUGAAGGCCCUAGGGUUGUAAAGUCCUUUCGGCGGGGAAGAUAAUGACGGUACCCGCAGAAGAAGCCCCGGCUAACUUCGUGCCAGCAGCCGCGGUAAUAC